UACGUAGGGGGCUAGCGUUGUCCGGAUUUAUUGGGCGUAAAGAGCGUGUAGGCGGCCAUGUAGGUCCGGUGUGAAAACUCGAGGCUUAACCUCGAGAUGUCAUCGGAAACCAUUUGGCUAGAGUCCGGAAGAGGAGAGUGGAAUUCCUGGUGUAGCGGUGAAAUGCGCAGAUAUCAGGAAGAACACCAAUGGCGAAAGCGGCUCUCUGGAACGGUACUGACGCUGAGACGCGAAAGCGUGGGGAGCAAACAGG
rnacentral:rRNA from 1 species